rnacentral:rRNA from 1 species
UGGGGAAUAUUGGACAAUGGGCGAAAGCCUGAUCCAGCAAUGCCGCGUGAGUGAUGAAGGCCCUAGGGUUGUAAAGCUCUUUUACCCGGGAUGAUAAUGACAGUACCGGGAGAAUAAGCCCCGGCUAACUCCGUGCCAGCAGCCGCGGUAAUACGGAGGGGGCUAGCGUUGUUCGGAAUUACUGGGCGUAAAGCGCACGUAGGCGGCUUUGCAAGUCAGAGGUGAAAGCCCGGGGCUCAACCCCGGAAUUGCCUUUGAGACUGCAUCGCUAGAAUUGUGGAGAGGUAAGUGGAAUUCCGAGUGUAGAGGUGAAAAUCGUAGAUAUUCGGAAGAACACCAGUGGCGAAGGCGACUUACUGGACACAUAUUGACGCUGAGGUGCGAAAGCGUGGGGAGCAAACAGG